CAGGGUGGAGAAGUCGUUGCCGGUGACGAUGAUGGGGACACGGGGGUUCUCCUCCUUGUUGUACAUGCCGGGGAGCUGCACGUUGGUGGGGUUGUCGGCGAUGUUCAUCAGGGUGGCGUUCACCAUCUGGUUGUUGACGGUAUACUGGGUGGUCCCGCCCAUGCGACCGGCACCGGCGUCGAGAUCGUUGAUGAAGAGGCAGCACAUCUUGCCCUUCUUGAUGAUGUCGGCGGCCUCACGGUACCGCUGCCUGAUGAGCUUGGCGGGCUCUCCGGCGUUGCCGCUCUCCAGCUCUCCGGCGCUCAUCAUGAUGGGGCUGCGUGUGUGUGGGGAAGAUGGUCAUUUAUCUUAUCUGCUGUAUAUAUGAAAUCAAACCAAAAUUAAAGAUUGUUGCUUACGUGAUGCCCAUCUUGGCGAAGACAAGCUCACACUGGAAGGAUUUCCCUUGACCCUUGCCUCCCCAGAUACCCAGGAUGAGGGGCACCUUGAUGUUUGGCAGGGUCAUGAAGUUCUUGGAGAGGUGGACGACGAGCUUGUCCAUGAAGGCCGGGGCGAUGUAGAAGCCAUCCUUCAUGUUGUCCCACCCGGUGUAGUCCCUCAAGCCCUGGCUGAGGUACUCGUAGGAGCUGAGCACGGCCUCGUGGGUGCCGUCUCCCAUGGGUGCCUGGAAGAGGGAGUCGACGAAACCCUUGCCCCUGGUGAUGUCCUGCUGGUCGUCGGAGAUGUCGUUGACGAGGCCCCUCCACCUGUCUUUGUCGGUCUGCUUGGUCUCGUCGACAUCCUUGGCGGCCAUGACCUUGAACCUGUUGGCGCUGGAGCUCUUGACAUGGUAGUUCACGGCCGCGGUCGCUUGCGUCGACCUGAGCUUCUUCCCGAGGAAGCUGGCCGGGGUGGAGGCCUGUAUGUACGUUGUCAAGGAUGCACUUUAGUCGUCAGGCGACUCUCGCAUAUAUGAUCGAUGCAUGAGAUGAUGGAAGAGAACUCACCGGAGCUCCGACGGUGGAGGAGAAGGCGGCCGCCAUCUCUGCGCUGCUUCUUCUUCCUCCUUGGGCGACCUUGCUAGGAAGGGCACGAGUGAUCUAUCACUGAUGGCCGCCGCUGCUGCUCUUCUCAAAGUACUGAGGCCGAGCCUUGCAAGGCAUUAAAUAAAGGAGCACGUGUGGUGGCCGUGUGUCUGCCGCUGCGGCUGCCAUGGCCUGUGGUCGGGAUCGGAGGUCAGGGAAGAGCCGCAAGCCGCGUGGUUGUGGAUCAGCUCCCACAUCUCUCGGAGGCCACACGCUGAGGAUGGGGUUUGGCAGACGUGGCGACAUCCCGGCGGGCCAAUGGGAUGGCUUGCUUGCACUGGCAACACUAAGAGAGUAAGAGACCAUCUCUUGGCUUGUGUUGCAUGACACUGAUAGGCCCCCGGGCCACAGGAAGGCUGCUCCGCCUGCAGGAUGGAUGAGGCAUCCAAAUUUUGUAUCCGCAUGCAGGUUUUCGGGAGUUUCUAAUUUAUUUGUAAUUCACUGGUACUCCCUUAGUUCCAAAUUUUAAGUCAUCCUAAAUUUCUUGGAGAGUCAAACUAUUUUAUAUUUGAUCAAAAUUAUAUAGAUGAUUACAAAUAUUUGUGGCAUCGAAUAGAUAUACUAUGAAAAUAUAUUUAAUGAAAAAUCUAAUAGUACAUGCUUUAUUUAUAAAUUUGAUCGUUUAUACUUUCCAAGAAAGUUGGAAUAUACAAUAUCUACGGAUUCAAGAAUUUAGCAUUUUGCCCUAAUUUUUCUUGUUCACGCAAGCAUACGCUAGUUAGUCACGGCUAUAGUAAUUAUUAUGCAACUACAAUAAAUAAAAGCGAAUAGUUUAUGAAAGUGGUCAAUGUAUCUUUAUCAUUUAAAUUUCACUGUGCGAUCCUUCACUAUAUUGAAAUCAUCAAUAAAAAAAUCAAAUUUGUCGUGACCUUCAUUGCAAUCUCUUUCUCAAUAUGAGACAAGAAAUUAGAAAUCGGAAAUAGUUUAGGAGACAUGGAUUUGCCUACAUUUGGUUUGAGUCGGAGGAGGAACAUCAAGAGCAGAAUGCGCGGUUGAUGUUGCUCUCCAUCGCGGCCGCGACCACUUGCCAUCGUUGGCGUGAUGCCGCAGUCGCAGAGCUAGAGUCCGUGGCGCUGAGCGCGAAUGUCAAGUCCACUGCAACUGCGAGAUUGAAAACGAAACAUAGCGAGGACGAGAUCUUGUCAUCUUAGCGAGCGGCUGCAGGUGGCUGUAUGCGUUGGGCAGUUGGAUUUAGCUCCUAUGAUCUACUGACCAUUGGCUAACAAAGGGUAGCAAACAUUUUUUUUUUGGUUGGGUGUGACCAUGGUCCCUGCCCAGUUCCGGGCCACAGGAAGGCUCCUCCGCCUGCAGGAUGGAUGAGACAUCCAAAUUUUGUAUCCUAGCUAAAGUGCACCACAAAUAUUAAUAUUAAUAUUCUCGUAUAUAUGCCUAUUACAAACUUGUUUCUUGUUAACGCCAAACAUGAAUUGAAGGCAGUUUACAAUUAAUUUGCAAAAAGAUAAAAGAGGACUGUGGGCAGAGCAUCAUCAGUUGUAGACGCAGCUGCCGUCGUCGCUUCUGGCUGUUGGGUCGAAGUUGCCGGCCUUUGGGUCGGUGCACCCCUCGGGCACGGGCACGCCCACCUGCUGCGCCGCCUUGCCGUAGUACAAGUUGCCGGCGGUGAUGGCUUCGUCGUGGUUGGCGUCGCCGAGCGCCGCCUCGCUGAGGUACUUGUCGGCCAGCUGCACGCGCUUGACGUUCUCCUGCUCCGCCACCAGCAUGUGGCCGUACUCGAGCAGCUUCUCCAGCGUCAUCUUGGGCUGCUGGAACGUCGGCGGGCCCUCCCUGGAGUUGACGAGCUUCCGGCCGAUGUUCUCGAUGCCGGUCUCGGCGACCCACCGGCGCACCUCGUCGUCGUACACCCGGGCUCGCAGCGCGCCGAAGAAGUCGAUGGACUGCCCCGGGAAGGUGUCGACGAGCUUCACGACGGCCUCGUCGGGGACGCCGUCGGUGCGGAAGAUGCCCUUGCAGACUCCUAUCCUAUCCUCGCGGGUGGGCGCCCAGUAGAACUUGUCCAUGCGGCCGUCGCGGAUGAGCGGCGCGUACAGCGUGGAGAAGUCGUUGCCGGUGACGACGAUGGGGACACGGGGGUUCUCCUCCUUGUUGUACAUGCCGGGGAGCUGCACGUUGGUGGGGUUGUCGGCGAUGUUCAUCAGGGUGGCGUUCACCAUCUGGUUGUUCACCGUGUACUGCGUGGUGCCGCCCAUGCGCCCGGCGCCGGCGUCGAGGUCGUUGAUGAAGAGCACGCACAUCCUGCCCUUGCUGAUGAUGUCGGCGGCCUCGCGGUAGCGCUGGCGGAUGAGCUUGGCGGGCUCGCCGGCGUUGCCGCUCUCCAGCUCGCCGGCGCUCAUCAUGACGGGGUUGAUGCCCAUCUUGGCGAAGACGAGCUCGCACUGGAAGGACUUGCCCUGGCCCUUGCCGCCCCAGAUGCCCAGGAUGAGGGGCACCUUGAUGUUGGGCAGGGACAUGAAGUUCUUGGCGAUGUGGACCACCAGCUUGUCCAUGAACGCCGGAGCGAUGUAGUAGCCGUCCAUCAUGUUGUCCAGGUUGUACUGACGGAGACCCUGGCUGAGGUACUCGUAGGAGCUGAGCACGGCCUCGUGGGUGCCGUC
rnacentral:lncRNA from 1 species